rnacentral:rRNA from 1 species
GACGAACGCUGGCGGCGCGCCUAACACAUGCAAGUCGAACGAGCGAGAGAGAGCUUGCUUUCUCAAGCGAGUGGCGAACGGGUGAGUAACGCGUGAGGAACCUGCCUCAAAGAGGGGGACAACAGUUGGAAACGACUGCUAAUACCGCAUAAGCCCACGACCCGGCAUCGGGUAGAGGGAAAAGGAGCAAUCCGCUUUGAGAUGGCCUCGCGUCCGAUUAGCUAGUUGGUGAGGUAACGGCCCACCAAGGCGACGAUCGGUAGCCGGACUGAGAGGUUGAACGGCCACAUUGGGACUGAGACACGGCCCAGACUCCUACGGGAGGCAGCAGUGGGGAAUAUAGCACAAUGGGGGAAACCCUGAUGCAGCGACGCCGCGUGGAGGAAGAAGGUCUUCGGAUUGUAAACUCCUGUUGUUGAGGAAGAUAAUGACGGUACUCAACAAGGAAGUGACGGCUAACUACGUG